UGAACUAGGACGACGAAGAACACAUUUUUAGAUUCAUCUUGAUCAACAAACAUUAUUGCUGGAUUUAUUGAACAUAUUAGUUUUAUAGUAUAUUUAAACCUUACCAAAGAUGUAGUGUUUGUUUAUAUAAUGGUUUAUAUGGAAAUGUGCCACUUGCACGAUAUGUGAGGUAAGCUAAGUGUAUUUGUAUUCUUGAUUCGCUUAGCUUUAGUUUUUAAUAUUUGCUUUGCUAUAUUGUUACUUUUUGUGCUUAUUUGCUUUUUGAUUUAACCAAGCACGCAGCUUACGUUUUUGUGUAGUUUAUGUUACCAACACAAGUAAUAUUUAUAAUAGACAUUGGUAUGAGACAGCAUAUGAGAACAUGUAAUAUAAUAUCUAAAAGUCUAAUUGGUAUAACUGUAAUUGAGACAAGUAAUGGCUAUUGUAUCCACAGUAUAUAUUUUUGUGACUAGAUACAUAAGUAUUCAGCUAAAUAAGUUUGCAUGAUAAUGAAAUAAGAACAUUAGUUUUAAUUAUUACUUAGUAAACAGAUUUAUCUAUCUGUAACUUAUAAGUACAUUUAUAUUUUACAGGGCUGUAUUUACAUAUUCAUAUAGUUACUUCGUUUCGUCUGAAUAAAAGUUACAGAACCCUA